rnacentral:rRNA from 1 species
GAGUUUGAUCCUGGCUCAGAGCGAACGCUGGCGGCAGGCCUAACACAUGCAAGUCGAGCGCCCCGCAAGGGGAGCGGCAGACGGGAGAGUAACACGUGGGAACGUGCCCUUCAGUUCGGAACAACCCAGGGAAACUUGGGCUGAUACCGGAUACGUCCGUAAGGAGAAAGAUUUAUCGCUGAAGGAUCGGCCCGCGUCUGAUUAGCUAGUUGGUGGGGUAAUGGCCCACCAAGGCGACGAUCAGUAGCUGGUCUGAGAGGAUGAUCAGCCUCACUGGGACUGAGACACGGCCCAGACUCCUACGGGAGGCAGCAGUGGGGAAUAUUGGACAAUGGGCGCAAGCCUGAUCCAGCCAUGCCGCGUGGGUGAUGAAGGCCCUAGGGUUGUAAAGCCCUUUCGGCGGGGAAGAUAAUGACGGUACCCGCAGAAGAAGCCCCGGCUAACUUCGUGCCAGCAGCCGCGGUAAUACGAAGGGGGCUAGCGUUGCUCGGAAUCACUGGGCGUAAAGCGCACGUAGGCGGCUUUUUAAGUCAGAGGUGAAAUCCUGGAGCUCAACUCCAGAACUGCCUUUGAUACUGAAGAGCUUGAGUCCGGGAGAGGUGAGUGGAACUGCGAGUGUAGAGGUGAAAUUCGUAGAUAUUCGUAAGAAUAUCCAUUGG